AACUUUCAAUAAUAGAUCUCUUAAUUUUAAUAUCGAUAAAGAAUGUAACGAAAUACAAUAAGUAAUAUAAAUUAUAAAAUUUAAUAAAUUAUUGAAUUUUUAAAUACAUAUUAUAUUUACUAAUAUUUUAACGAAUAUAUUUAUUCGAACGUUA